rnacentral:lncRNA from 1 species
UCAUCUAAAAGGACUGGACCUACAUCUGCAGUUAACUGCACAAUGGAAGAAACGGCCUCUCCUGGGCAGCCUCAUGGAUGGGGUGAAGAGACAAAGCUUGGGAGUGUAGCAUGUUGAGCACAUCUGCUCAGAGGUAACAUUUAAGCAGUUAGGUUGUCUCCAAGCAUAAAAAUGGAAAUACUGAUCCUGUGACAACACAGCCUGAAUUUUCUGCUUUGCAGAUGCCAGAUUUAUUUUUAAAUGGUGUGAAUCAAAUCUGUGCUGAGAGGCCAACUUCAAAAUAUAAAAGAAAAAUUGGCAAUGGGAGGAUUGUGCUGGUUUGGCUGAAAUGAAGUGCUCUACGGCAUUUCAUUCUAGUGGAGCGUCUGACUGUGAAAAUCCUUCCAAUUGUAAUUUUCUUUGGCUUGUCAAAAGAGGAUUAUGAACUAAAGUCAGUGUUGCAGGAAAUGUCACCUGUCCUUUGAAAGAAAAUAAUAAAUCAAAAUGGCUUUUGUUCAUCAUGUUUAAAAUGAAAAAAAAAAAAAAGUUGAUCCACUGGAAAAGGGAAAUCUUCAUUCAAUACAUAUUCAUACAGAGAA